UAUGGCCGGAGCAGGGGUUCGUUCAGAGAAUCUGCAACGUUUCCUUGAUGCCGGGGUGCAGGAAGUGCACAGCUCCGCAGGAGCGUGGCAAGCCUCACCAAUGCGUUAUCGCAAUCAUGGAUUGUCCAUGUCAACUGACGCACAAGCGGACGAGUAUUCGCGCUAUGCGGUAGACGGGGCGGCGGUUGCUGAAAUGAAAGGAGUCAUUGUGCGCCAUCAGGCCAAUUGAUUUUUACCGUUGCAUCAUGUCGCCCAAUAUGAUGCUUGCUCGUACCAGGCCCCUGCCAUUUCAACAGGGGCCUUUUUUU
rfam:Citrobacter koseri ATCC BAA-895, complete genome.